GGGGGUGCUAAUAAUGCAAUCGAGCGAACUGAUUAGAAGCUUGCUUCUAUGACGUUAGCGGCGGACGGGUGAGUAACACGUGGGCAACCUGCCUGUAAGACUGGGAUAACUUCGGGAAACCGAAGCUAAUACCGGAUAGGAUCUUCUCCUUCAUGGGAGAUGAUUGAAAGAUGGUUUCGGCUAUCACUUACAGAUGGGCCCGCGGUGCAUUAGCUAGUUGGUGAGGUAACGGCUCACCAAGGCAACGAUGCAUAGCCGACCUGAGAGGGUGAUCGGCCACACUGGGACUGAGACACGGCCCAGACUCCUACGGGAGGCAGCAGUAGGGAAUCUUCCGCAAUGGACGAAAGUCUGACGGAGCAACGCCGCGUGAGUGAUGAAGGCUUUCGGGUCGUUAAACUCUGUUGUUAGGGAAGAACANGUACAAGAGUAACUGCUUGUACCUUGACGGUACCUAACCAAAAAGGCCACGGCUUACUUCGUUGCCAACAAGCCGC
rnacentral:rRNA from 2 species